UAUUGUUUCUGCUUUUUUGGUGGCCUGGAUUUGGCAGCUGUCUCAGUCAGUUGUCUUCUUUCUCUCUCUUAACUCUUAAGUCUUCUUCUUUCUUCUCCUCUCACUAUAUUUCUCUCUCUUCCCGUUUCUCCUCUCCCCGCUCUAAUUUACUGUAGCUUAUGAACAGUACCCACGCUACUAUUCCUUAUAAACAGGGAAUUUCCGGUUGUGCCCUCUAAAAAGUUGGCUGAUAUACCUUUUGUCUUUACCCCUACUAUUCAAGUCACCUUGACUGCAUUUGCCUCCCAUCCGGCCUUUCGUACCCUUUACCAUGCUUUUUUUCAGAUUUUCUUUCACUCUCCCAUGGCUGUUAUCUACUUCCCUCUUCUCCAUUUUCUUCCUUGCUCAUAUUGUCAUCAUCUAUUUGUCUAUUCUCCUUCAAUUUGUAGUCCAUGAAUAACCUGCAAGUUAGGGUUUUGUAUCCUAAGAUAAAUUUGUUAUUAGUUUUAAAUUAAAAUAUUGGGAAACAGUCGAAAAAAAGCUUCUAGGUUUUAAUUUUUUAUGGGUUUUGUUACAGAUUUUGAGUAUACAACAAAUCUUCAACUGGUAGCAAAAAUGAAAUCGGAAUCGUUGUUGUCGUUGUGGUGGGGUCCAACGAAAGAUCCGACGGCGGCGAUGGUGGGAUAAAUAGAGGGUGUGUGAGAAGGAGGUGAAGGAGAGAAGAGAUUGUGAGGAAAAAGAGAUGGUUUUCCUCUGAAUUCGCUUUUGGAUUUCCUCUCAUACUCUCUCUUUGUCUUCAAAUCACCUUCCGUAUUUCCCCCUUUUCUCUCUCAUCCUCCAUUCUUUUCAUGUUUAACUUCUCAAAUUAAUCGAUUAAUCUUUGAAUUAUUUUGAUUUUUUUAUCAGGUACUACAACGGACGAUUCGUACCCUUUGUUCGAUAGGUAUGGCAGCGUUAUUGAUGUCUUCAUCCCUGGUGACCGCAGAAUUGGUGAAUCUCGUGGGUUUGCUUUUUUUCGUUACAUGUAUCAAGAUGAAGCUACCAAAGCUGUUGAAAAGCUAGCUUGAUGGCAAGGUCGUUGAUGGCAGAGAGAUAAUGGUUAAAUUUGCAAAAUGUGGUCCUAAUUGCUGGGAAAAUGUGAGUAAUAACAAAAAUAGUUUGCUUUUUAUUGGUUUUUGGGUGUUUUGAUGCUAUAUGUUACUCUGCUUGUGAUAUCUUAACCAGAAUGUGUCGAAGUGACAAAGUUUAAUUCUAUUGAGAAGGUGUUUUUAUUUUAUAUUUGGCUGCAUUCUCUGUGGUGUUGGGAUGGUGAUGAGGUUGUUUGAAUUAUAAUUUGGGUUAUGCUGUGGCAUUUGCUGGUAUGAAUCAUGGCAUGUUAGUUACAACGUUUAGCCCUUUUUAUAAUUGUAAGGAAAUUUAAUUAGUUGAUUAUAUUUUUAUAUACUAUAUACUAAAUCAUGUUUGUGUUUUCAAAAAAAAAAAAAAAAAACUAUAUCAUGCUUUAAUGCUGCAUAUGAACAUAUGAAAAUGUUGAACCAUUCAUGAGAAGAAAAAAAAUGAUAAUCAGAAAGGACAAUUGUGAGGGAUAGAAUGAUGAUGAUGCCUAUUUAAUGUUUAUUAUGUUAUAAUAAUAUACUAUACUAAGUAAUUCUCGUAGCCCACAUUUGACUCUUCCACAAAUGUGUCACUUUUCUUGUACCAUAGAUAAUAAUGAAAAGAAGAAAGAGUUGAUUUUCAAAUUUUGUAUGUCAUAUUUUUGUUAUCAAUAAUUUUAAAAGUUGUAUAUAUUCUAGGGUACAUUUAAAGUUUAAUUGAGAAUUUAUAAAACAUUAAUAACAAACAGUGGUCCUUAAAAAAUGGGUCAAGUUGGAGUAAAUACAGGAGUAAUAAUACUUCACCGGCAAAAAGCAGGAAGAAUUUCAUAUAUAUCUAACAACAAUGCCAAGGCCUAUCAAAGAUACAUGGAUUUGUACCAGCUAUAUAUUAUUGAGGUGGUCACAGAAAAGAUAAUUAAUGUAUUUUCCAUGCUAGCAGCUGCACAAUUUUUCUUCAAUUUAGGGUGUUUUAAAUUGCAGGCCUUACUUUGAGCAAUUGUUUAUUAAGGGGCAGGCAAAAUGAUUUGUGUGUUUCUAGGCCUGAGCUAUAGUUUGACCAGGGUUCACUCGGUCCAGAAACACUUGAAAUAACUUGAAAAGAUAUAUUAGAGAGAGAAUGAUCAUCAACUAUAGAAUCAUCUAUAAUAAGAAUAGAAAUGAAGUAAAACUCAAAUCCCUUCAAAACUUAUAAGUUUUAACUAGAUUUUAUUACUUCUUAAUAGUUCAAAUGACAUAUAAACUCUUAAUAGUCUUAACAUUAUAUGAUCAAAUUUCAAUGCCUCUUCUCGAUUCUUGCUUAUAUGUACUGUUGACCAAGUUGUUGCAAGGGAUGUCUUCUGUAUAGGUAAAAGUUCUAAAAUCAUCUAAUAAGAAGCUUCAAUAAUAUCGUUCAAAGUGUUAGUUAUGCCCUGUUAUUGCUACAGAGUUACUGGAAGAUCCAUAAAAGAUUAUUAUGUUUUCUUAGCUCUCUUAAAUGGAUUGUAAAAUGUAGCAUAAAUAACUAUUUCAAAUUAUGAUUGCCUUUUUUUUUUUUUUUUUAAAUGCAUGUAUAUGUUAUAUUCCACUUUCUUAGGAGAAACCCCGUCUUUUUUGAAAGUCUUAAAAAAAAAUCAUUUUUGAUAUUUUGAAAAUGCCUAGAUAUCUCAAUUGUUUGCUCUCUGAUACCUCCAACUCCCGUAUCGAUAUUUAUAAGAAAUAUAACCAGGGCAUGCUUUGUGGGUUGAGGGGGGAGGGAGAUUAAAUAAUUAGUGAAUUGGAGUAGUAAAAUAAAUUCCCCAAUCUUCUUCUAAUCAUGACAGUAAGAAACAACAUUACGAAGGGAGAAAAUGAAGAUAUAUCUCAGAUUUUGGGAUAACAAAAGGGUCUUUUCUUUUAUAGUAGCCUCUGUUGGUCUGUUGGUUUUUAUUCCAAGCCAACAUCACAAUAAGGUGCUAAUUAUUAAUGUUAAUGCUCGUAAUUUGCUUACUAAUUACUCCGUCCACCAAAAGGUAGAAAUUGGACAUGAGAGGCUCUUGCUUAAAUAAAUUGUCGUUCAUUCUUCAUCAUAGUAUACAGAAUGUUAAUUUGGCUUUUCCUUUGCUAUGUUAACAGACACAUGUAUUGUUAAGGCUCUCAUAUUUAAUUGCCUUUUAUUUUUUUACAACUUUGGGUAGAAGGAAUGCUUGUUGGCUUGAAGAAGUAGGCGUCUUUUUUCACCAAGAUAAGAUUAGAUUUUCUUGUAAAAGAUUUUACUUUUGUUCAUUGCAUUACACUGUUUAUGUCUAACUAUUAUAUUAUAUAUGUAAUGCUUGUUCAACAUUCAUUCUAUAUAAGCAAAAGGCCAUGUCUUUUGUAACUAACCCUCUUAUACAUGUGGUUUGUUACUAGCUUAGAUUGAAUUUGUAAGAAGCCUUCCAUAUCUUGUUGUCCAGUAGCAUAUUGAAGCAUUAUUCUACAGUUCUGUUGAGCCUACACCCAAUUAAGUUGAAACUCUCAAAACACAUGCCCAAGGUGUGUAAUUUAGAAUCAACUAAUAAUGGAAUACUACUAUAUUGACUAAUGGAAUACAUUGGCAAAUUAACAAUCCAAUAAUUCUCUAAAUUAUAAUAAGCAUCAUAUGCAGAAACCAUGAGUAAAGGCCAUUGCAUAUUAUGUGAUUAUUUCUUGUUGUCUUGUACAAUUGCAAUAUUAACUGUUAAAUAAAAGGACCACUUGUCUGCCUUUAUUUUGGAUGUGUGAAAAAGUUCGACUUCCGUAAGUUCUAUUUGUGGUGUUUUAUAAUUAUGGGGUUUCUGUCCUUUUUGCAAGUGAUUGUUUCUGAGUGGCUGUAGUAGCCUAUAUUAUUCUAAACAGGUUUUAAGUUCUGAUUAUUUUGAUGGGUUAUAUUCAUAAUCAGGGAUUGUAAUGGAUUUUGUUGAUAAAAUUGUGAUUUUUGUGAAUUUUUUUGCGGUCUAAAUUUUGUUACUGUAGUAAUUUAAAGCAUUUAGAGCAGCAAAUACAGCUGUCUAUACCUAUGGUUUACGUUGUACCUUAAAUCAUAUACAUCUCACUGGAAGUUUUCCAAUAUAAAGAAUCAAGCUCCCUCCUUUCACUCUUUUCUCUUCCUAUUACAUUAACUCUGACAGAUACAACAUACUUGAUAGUUCCUCUGUUCUUCAAUCUCAACUCUCGAGUAUUCAACAUCAACUGACCAUGGAAAUCUUAUAUCGAGUUUCCACCCUUGGUUACAACAUCAACAGACCUUGGUUACACGAUUACAUAAUAACUUGUUCAAGUAUGCCCGUAUAUUUGUUGAGAAAAAUCACUUGUAUUUUAUUUACUGUUAUUGUCAUCAAUUGAAUUACCAUGAUUGAUACGAUCAA